CCGCGCCCGCCGCGCUGCACUACGGGACCACCGCCCCGCACCUCGCCUACAACAACCAGCCCCCCAGUGGCAGUACUAGAGCCCAGAGUGGAGGCGGUGGAGGAGGAGACAGUGAAGUUCCUAGCGACCAGACAUUGUCCGAUCUCUUAGAUGAGGUGAUCGAGAACAUGCCCGACGCUGACCGAUCGGCAGCCGACGUUAAUGUUCGGCAACGACAAGGAAUGAAGGAGAAGAACGCCAUGAUCAACGCCAUCCGGCAGAGCCUGAUGCAGUGUGAAACGGUAGGCAAGGCGGCCGGCGGGUCGAGCCCGGGCGGCGGGGCGGGCGCGGCGGGCGCGGCGGGCG